CCCUUAGAUGUUCUGGGCUGCACGCGCGCUACACUGAUGCGCUCAACGAGUUUAUGCCCUUGCCCGGAAGGGUUGGGUAAUCUUUUUAAAACGCAUCGUGAUGGGGAUAGAUUAUUGUAAUUAUUAAUCUUCAACGAGGAAUUCCUAGUAAACGCAAGUCAUCAGCUUGCAUUGAUUACGUCCCUGCCCUUUGUACACACCGCCCGUCGCUCCUACCGAUUGAAUGAUCCGAUGAAUAUCAUGGAUUGAGGAUGCAAGUAGGUUCGCCUAUCUUCAUCUUCGAGAAGUGAAGUAAAUCUUAUCAUUUAGAGGAAGGAGAAGUCGUAACA
rnacentral:rRNA from 1 species